UGGAUGUCGGAGUUAUGGCACACAAGAUUUUCCCUGAUUGCUCAACAAAUCACAAUAAAAAGGAAGCUCAGGGAGCACAACUGAGGACUCAGCACUGCAGUGGGACAGUUUACCAGAGAUCAGUGAACAGACACGUGAGAACAUGAAGACUGUGAUUCUUGCUCUUGCGGUGUUGUUGGUUGUCAGCCAGGGUGAAGCCCUGACGUGUUGGUGUGGAGGUAUAAGGUCAUGUUUAGGCCGUACAGAGACCUGCUCCACUUCAGAGGACGUCUGUGCCAGUGUGUCCUUUGAUCAGUUCCCAAGGAACAACUUCCAUGGUUGUUACAGCGAAGAUGCCUGCAGGCAGCUGAAUCAUCCUGGUAUAGUAUCUUGCAGGUACUGCAAGACCGACAUGUGCCAGUGAUUAAUGAACGUCAUGCAACAGAUAUUCCAGUCAUAAUAAUAAUGAUGUGUUGUGCAUUUUUGCACGAUCAUAAUAAAAAUCAGUCUGUUGCAACUUU